ACUGCAGUACGAGAACAAACACAUGAGGUCCCGGAGCAGACAGAGACACGCACUCUCUCACUCGCUGUGUGAUCAGAUGUUGUGGGAGAUCGGUCUGGAGCAGUUUUAACUGAAAGUAUACAUAUUCUAAGUAAGGAAAGAGCAAUCAAGGUCAUGCAGCAGAACUGCAGCCGAUGAUCUGGUGGUGAAGAAGGAGAUUCAGUCACUCUAUACACUAACAUCCCUGACGUCAAGCAUGGGUUUUUGCGAAUUCAAUGGUCUGGUAAAGCUGUAAUCGCUGAAAUCACUGAUAGGGCCAACAACUUCACUGUGUAUGAUGAUGUUCUUGAUGGGAUAUUCAGAAACAGAGUAGAGCUGGACAAUCAAACUGGAUCUCUGACCAUCACCAACACCAGACCUGAAGAUGCUGGACUUUAUGUAUUAUUCAUGGAAAAAGAUGAUGAAAUGAUGUCCUGUCUGUUGAACUAUUUCAUUCUCACUGUGUAUGAAGAAAUAUCAGCGACGGAGGGAGAUUCAGUCACUCUCCACUUUAAUCAGACUGAAAUCAGAGACAACUUAAAGAUAUUUUUGAAGUCUGAAACAGAAAAUGCGUUCACGUUUGUGAAGUGUGGUCUGUUUGAGAGAUUCAGAGAAAGAGUGGAGCUGGACAAUCACACUGGAUCUCUGACCAUCACCAACACCAGACCUGAAGAUGCUGGACUUUAUAAACUGGACUUUAAGACAUCAAAAGCAUU